rnacentral:lncRNA from 1 species
AAAAAGAGGAUCCCAACGUUAACAUCUCCCUACAAUAACCGAGAGCUUUUUCUUUCUUUUUCAUCUUCUUCUUCUUCUUAGUUUUUUCUUCUGAAUAGAGUUGAUUUCGAUUUUUCUUCAUCUUCGUCUUCAUCAUCAUCGCCAUCGUCAUCAUCAUCAUCAUCGUAUCAUCAUUAUCAUCGUCGUCGUCGUCAUCAUCAUCUUCUUCUUCUUCUUCUUCUUCUUCUUCUUUUGAAUUCUAGUUCGGAUUCUAAUUUUUCUCCUCCUUCGUCUUCUUCUUCUCCUUCUAAUUUUAUAGUUCUUUUUUUCUAUUUUUCAAACAGUUCAAAAAUUCAUAAUCCUUUUUAUUUAGGCAAUUGGGCAUGUUGUAUCAGAAGAAUUAUAGGGACAUGUUGUCUGAUUUAUCUUUUUUUUUUUUUUGUUUAACGGAUUUUUGAAUACAAGUUUGGACCAAAAGCAAAGAACUUUGGUUCAGGUUUGGAGAUUGAGUUUCUUUGAUUGAUUUAAUUUAUUAGAUAUUUGUUGGUACUAAUGAUUAGAUUGCAAGGAUUUUUACAUGACUUGAUAAGGGUUAAAGAUUAUAAAUUUUAUCAAAAUAAUGGUAGAUAAACUUUGUUUCUUGCUCCAAGUUUCAAAUACUCAAACAUGUUUUUGUAUCUGAGAUCGAAGAUGCAUUCAUAUGUGAAUGGGAUUUGCCUAUAUUUUUCUCUUUCCUUUGUUUUCUUUUUUUUUUUCUAUACAUACUUGUGACUGCGUGCAAGAUUUCUUGAAUAUGAUGUCUGUUUGAUGUGUUUAUUAUGCUUCAUAUGCGACGUUGUUAGCGAUUUGUGCAAAGCCUUGUUUCGGAUGUAUUUAAUUACAAAGUGGGUCUCCCCUGUUUAUAGUGAACUAAUCCACAUGUAUGUUUUAUUAGUUUUAGCAAUACAUUAUGGGGUUUUAUUGAUCUCAAGUGGAAAAAAUGAAUAAUACUGUAAUUUAGAGCUCCCAGCUUGCUUUUUUAGUUGUUCUGUAAUAAUAUACAGGGAAAACGUAUAUUUUUGCCCUUUAACAUAUGUAGGGAAAGAGCACAUUUGCUAAAGAACUGUCUAUUUACAGCUUUAUUGAGUUCUUAUAAGUACUAUUUUAGUUGUGGAAUCGAGUGUUAGAAUUGAGCUAUUGAGAUUGAGUUGUUUUUUUUUCGGGUCACUUUCUACAUUAGGAGUGAGAAUGGGCAUUAGUACUGUUAAUGGAUGGAAAAGUUAGUGCCUUUGUUUUGCAAAUUAUGGUGACUUUAUAAUUAUGCUUCUUUAUAAUAUCACUGUCUAUAGCUUGUCCUUGAAUUGAAUGCCAUAUUAUGGUGAGUUCCAUUUUCCACUUUCUAAUUAUUAUUUAAGUUCAUAUUCACUGAAUCUUGCAAGUUUUCGUUUGAAGUAAUAGAACUUGACAUUUCUUACUUGGAACUCCCAUGUAUUUGGACUCUUGAUUCAUUGUUUUAAGUUGACAUAUUAUUGUUUG